rnacentral:lncRNA from 1 species
UGGUAGACAAUAAAAAAAGAAAGGGGUUUGACACUUGCGAAAAUGAGGAGAAAAUAGAAGAAAGAAAAGAAAAAUGAGUAUUAAAAUCGGUGGUGCAAGGUGGUUGUCACAACAGAGGAGGGUGGCACUUAGGGCGGUGGUGGAGAAAAUAGAGGAGAAAAGUGGCGGCAAGGUGGAGGUCUUGUGGUGACAAUGGUGGUUCGAGGUAAAUGAGUGGUGGAGGAGAGGAAGAAAGAUAAUAAAAAUGGUGGUUGAUGGC